rnacentral:tRNA from 1 species
GGUGGCUCAGUGGUAGAGCACUCGCCUUGCAUGCAUGAGGCCCUGAGUUUGAUUCCUCAGCACCA